rnacentral:rRNA from 1 species
ACGGAAGGCAGCAGUAGGGAAUAUUGCACAAUGGGGGAAACCCUGAUGCAGCGACGCCGCGUGAGCGAAGAGGUAUCUCGGUAUGUAAAGCUCUAUCAGCAGGGAAGAAGAUGACGGUACCUGACUAAGAAGCACCGGCUAAAUACGUGCCAGCAGCCGCGGUAAUACGUAUGGUGCAAGCGUUAUCCGGAUUUACUGGGUGUAAAGGGAGCGUAGACGGGACAGCAAGUCUGAUGUGAAAGGCGGGGGCUCAACCCCCGGACUGCAUUGGAAACUGUUGGCCUGGAGUACCGGAGGGGUAAGCGGAAUUCCUAGUGUAGCGGUGAAAUGCGUAGAUAUUAGGAGGAACACCAGUGGCGAAGGCGGCUUACUGGACAGUAACUGACGUUGAGGCUCGAAAGCGUGGGGAGCAAACAGGAUUAGAUACCCUGGUA